AAAGGGUUGUUCGAGACUAGAACGUUGAUAGGCAGGGUGUGUAGCGUUGUGAGGCGUUGAGCUAACCUGUACUAAUUGCCCGUGAGGCUUAACCAU
rnacentral:rRNA from 1 species